UGAGUACAAUUCUCUUCAAAUUGCAUAAAUAUUUCACCUUUUACUAAAGAUUUCCAUGGAGAGGAAUAAUGGAGACAACUUGUCAACUGUGUGACUUUGGGCAAGUCACUUAACUUC